rnacentral:rRNA from 1 species
AUGUAUGGAGUGUUUAGAUGGGAGAACAAAUAUAAAACUUGGGACCGCAUAAGACAGCUUCAGCAUAGUUAUGAUCUCCCGUGGCUUCUAAUUGGUGAUCUUAAUGAGAUACAAUUUUUGCAUGAGAAAGAGGGGUGUAAUCCGAGACCCCAGCAGUACAUGCAGGCCUUCCAACAAGUUAUUGAUGACUGUAAUUUGUGUGACAUGGGUUUUGUGGGAGACCCAUUUACCUGGCGAAGAGGAAGGAUUAGAGAAAGACUCGAUAGAGGAUUAGUAAAUGAGGCUUGGUCAAGCUUGUUCCCACAGGCGACAUUAGAGAACCUAGACUUUAAUCACCGGCCAUUGUUAGUUAACACAGAGUAUUAUUCCCAGCCGGUUGCAGGUGGAAGUGGCCAACAGAAGAAGUUUGAAGCUCGCUGGUUACGGGAAGAGAAGUUUAAUGAGACGGUACUAGAGGCUUGGGCGAAGGUUGGCUCUGAUCCAAUGGCAACAAAUAUUUGUAAAAAUCUCAAUAUGAUGCACACCCAGUUUCAUGAUUGGGACCAGCGGGUCUUAAAAAAACCAAAAAAAGCGUUUGCGUAA